rnacentral:rRNA from 1 species
CGGGGGGGGCAAGCGUUGUUCGGAAUUACUGGGCGUAAAGGGUUCGUAGGUGGCCGACUAAGUCAAACGUGAAAUCCCUCAGCUUAACUGGGGAACUGCGUCUGAUACUGGUCGGCUUGAGUGCAGGAGAGGAACGCGGAAUUCCAGGUGUAGCGGUGAAAUGCGUAGAUAUCUGGAGGAACACCGGUGGCGAAGGCGGCGUUCUGGACUGCAACUGACACUGAGGAACGAAAGCCAGGGGAGCAAACGGGAUUAGAUACCCCGGUAGUCCUGGCCCUAAACGAUGAAUGCUUGGUGUGGCGGGUAUCGAUCCCUGCCGUGCCGAAGUUAACGCGUUAAGCAUUCCGCCUGGGGACGUACGGUCGCAAGGCUAG